rnacentral:lncRNA from 1 species
UCUUCCUCCCUCCUCUCUCUCUCUCUCUACCCUGCCUGCAAAACGAACCAGGUUACCAUCACCAGAACCUAUCAGCCUCUGUCUCCCCCCCCCUACCCCCUCUCUCUUUCUCUCUCCCUUGGCUGCAAAACCAGUCUGGUUACCCACACCAGAAGUCAACCGUCCCUUCUUUCUCUCUCUCUCUUGCGUACGCGAGUAGCAAAACCAGGGCACCCACCCCACACUCUCGCACUUGCCCUCCCUCUCUCUCAGAAAACCUCUCUCUCAGAAAACCACACUAGCAGCAUGACCAGGGCAGUGGCUCACUCGCUCUCAGUGAAAAAUAUGUUCUCUCUCUCACUACCCUCCUUCAGCCUCUCUCUACAUCUUCUGCUACCUACGGCUCCACCUCUCUCCUCUCUCUAACCAGUAAGAAAACCUCCCUUUCUCUCUCUGAAAAAACUCUCUACCUCUCUACCUCACCCUUCUCUAGAUGUCUAUAUCUCUAUGGAUUUUUAGGUUAUGCAUUUUUUUUGUCUGAUUCCUGAUAAGAAAUUUGCUAGUCCUAUAGAUUGGGAAGAUGGAGAUAUUAGAGAAUGUCUUGUGUAUUUUAGUACUUGGUUUGCCAUCCAAAUCUUUGGAAGGUUGCAAUAUUGGAAGUAAUUUUAACUUGUGUUCAUAUUAUCAUGAUAAAUUGGAAUGCGGGUGGUGAUUUUUAAUCAAGAAUAUCUCAACAAUAAUUAUAUUUGCAUAGAUUUUUAAUUUGUUUUGUCUCUCUUUAUAGUACAAUCAGAAAAUAUCAGGGAAUAAUUGUAAAUUUUAGUUUUUGAUGGAAGUAAAUGGAUCAUUUUCCAGCUGCAUAUGGCUCUCCCUCCCUCUUUCUUUCUAUCUAUUUCCCUCUAUUAUUCCAUGAGAAUGUACUUUGGCAGUGACUUUUUUGAGAAUGCAAUAUUGGAAGCAAUUACCAAUGUAUCUAUACACGAUUUCCUUCUUACAACAUCAAUAGAAGAGUUAAGAUAGUAAUAAACACACUAUAAUAUAGUGUUUGCACUAUAAUUUUAGUUUCUUUACUUGGAUGUAGUAUACAGUGUUUGCGUUAUACUUCCAGUUUCUUUUAUAGUGCUAUAUCACAGUAUAUGCUCUGUCAUACAUGUAAAUAUGGUGAAUUUUACAGCAUUGUGCAUAUAUGUCUAACUGCCGAUGUGUUAAUUUUGUUUAAAACUCAUGCAUGUCUCCAUCUGAUGUACCCUAAUGCUCAACUACGACUGUACAUAUAUAAAUGCAUUUUUGUCACAAAAUAUCUCUUAACUCAUUUGAAGUUUAUUCAUUUUUCUUGAAGCCUUUAGGUGCACUAACCCCGAUUAUGGGAAAAAGAUGUGUAAACACCCCAAGGAGCAGAGCAGUCCUUGACAAGAGCAUGGAACAUCAUCAGUCAAUGACAUCUUCGUGAGAGUGUUAUUUAUUGUGGAUGUGGCCUUUUGUCUCAAUGACAUUGUCAUGAGUGCGAACUUAAAUAACAUUAAGAUUGUUGCUAUGUUUGUGUCCCUGAGGUUGUUUUCUGUUAUUAUAUACCUAUUGAUGGCCAGGUUGUUUUUGUUAUUCAUUAAAACUUUUAUGAGUAUAUACCUAUUGGUACUGAGGUUCUUGUUAUAUUCAUGUCUCUCUCACUGCAGCAGUAUGAAUCAUCGAAGAGGAUGUUGGCAAUGGCAGCUAUGCAACAUCCUUACUCGACAAAGCUAAUCUUUGAUGAGCA